CUACGGGAGGCUCCAGUGGGGAAUAUUGGACAAUGGGGGAAACCCUGAUCCAGCAAUGCCGCGUGUGUGAAGAAGGCCUGCGGGUUGUAAAGCACUUUCGGUUGGGAGGACUGCUUCUAGCACUAAUAUUGUUGGAAGUUGACGUUACCUUCAGAAGAAGCACCGGGUAACUCCGUGCCAGCAGCCGCGGUAAUACGGAGGGUACAAGCGUGAAUCGGAAUUACUGGGCGUAAAGCGCGCGUAGGCGGCUAGAUCAGUCGGGUGUGAAAGCCCCGGGCUUAACCUGGGAACUGCAUCCGAUACUGUCUAGCUUGAGUACAGGAGAGGAGAGUGGAAUUCCACAUGUAGCGGUGAAAUGCGUAGAUAUGUGGAGGAACACCAAUGGCGAAGGCAGCUCUCUGGCCUGAUACUGACGCUGAGGUGCGAAAGCGUGGGGAGCAAACAGGAUUAGAUACCCUAGUAGUC
rnacentral:rRNA from 1 species